rnacentral:rRNA from 1 species
ACUGAACGCUGGCGGCAGGCCUAACACAUGCAAGUCGAGCGGUAGAGAGAAGCUUGCUUCUCUUGAGAGCGGCGGACGGGUGAGUAAUGCCUAGGAAUCUGCCUGGUAGUGGGGGAUAACGUUCGGAAACGGACGCUAAUACCGCAUACGUCCUACGGGAGAAAGCAGGGGACCUCCGGGCCUUGCGCUAUCAGAUGAGCCUAGGUCGGAUUAGCUAGUUGGUGGGGUAAUGGCUCACCUAGGCGACGAUCCGUAACUGGUCUGAGAGGAUGAUCAGUAACACUGGAAAUGAGACACGGUCCAGACUCCUACGGGAGGCAGCAGUGGGGAAUAUUGGACAAUGGGCGAAAGCCUGAUCCAGCCAUGCCGCGUGUGUGAAGAAGGUCUUCGGAUUGUAAAGCACUUUAAGUUGGGAGGAAGGGCAGUAAAUUAAUACUUUGCUGUUUUGACGUUACCGACAGAAUAAGCACCGGCUAACUCUGUGCCAGCCGCCGCCGUAA